rnacentral:tRNA from 2 species
GCCCUCGUAGCUCAGGGGAAGAGCACUUCUCUCCUAAAGAAGGUGUCGCGUGUUCGAAUCACGCCGAGGGCACCC